rnacentral:lncRNA from 1 species
UCUCCAUCUUUUGGAGCUUCCAUUGUGAGAGGUGGGGGAGGAGAGAGAUUAAACAGGUAACCCGAGGAGGUGGUAAACGUGUUGGGGUUAAGGUGAAAAGAAAAGAGGGAGAACAAGAGGGUGAGGAAGGGGCCGCUGGCUGGUGGAAUCUAAGCAGGGAGUCACGGAGGCUGCACAGAGGCUGGGUUUGAGCCGGGGGUCAGAACAAGCGCCAGGGGUCUUGGGAGAAAAGCAUCGCAGACGGUAGAAAGAUCCGUGUGGAGGCCUGACUGAUGUAGGAGCUCGGCUGGCAUCCUUGGGAAGAGCGAGGAGGCCACUGUUGCUGGGCUGGAGUGCAGGUUGGUGUCCUGAGCUGCUUGGGCUGCUGUACUGAAAACUGGAAACCAGAUGGCCUGUAAGCAAUGUGUUUCUCCCACUUACGGUGUCUGGGACAUCCAAGGUCAGGAGACCAGCAGGUUUGGUAUCUGCUGAGGGCCAGAUUCCUGGUCAUGCUUUCUCUUUGCUGUGACCUCAAAUGGCAGAAGGCGGAGGGAACUCCUGGGUCCUUUUUAUAAGAGCACUGGAUCCAGCCACAGGGGCUCUGUCCUCAUAACCUCAUCUCUAGCAGGAGCCCAAGCUCCAAAAAGCUGUGACAUUGGCGAUCGUAUCUCAGCACAGGGGGCACACAUGGCCUACAGCAGUCAGGGAGUUUGACAGAGUCCAAAAGAUGAGAGCUUGAUUGUGGGGGCCUUUGAAGACCGUUGUAAGGAUUUGGGGCUUUGACUCUGAGAGGAGGGAGGCUUUCGUGCAGGGGAACAAGUGGUGUAAGUGACGCUGUCCAGUUGUGGGUCUAACUUUCCUUCCGUCCCCAUCCGAGUUCAGAGCAGCAGCUGCGCGCCCCGGCUGCUUAGGCCAGAAACUAGACGUCAGCCUUGGCUCCUCGCUUUUCUCCCCCAACCUGCAUCCAGUCCACCAGCUGAUUCUCUAGGCUCCAUCUUCGUUGUCUGUUUCUCACCAUCCCCACGGCUUCCAUCUUUGUCGAACCGCUGUAAUCUCUGGCCCUGAGGUUAUUGCAGUGGCCUGUGAACCUCUCCACCUCCCUUGCCACAUUCCCACUGCUGGUUCUCAAAACAGCAGUAGGAUUCAGCCUGUUUAGUCUCUAAGACCAGGGCUCUGCCGCUCUUCUGUAAGGAGCCAGAUCAUAGAUAUGUAGUUGGUGUGGUCUUUGUCGCUGAUGCUCAGCUCUGCCUGUGUAGGGUAAAGACGGCCGCAGAGAGUACCGAGGGAGUGGGCGUGGUUACGGCCGUGGAACCCUCAUUUGUGGAAACAGGCCAAGGGCCUUGCUUUGCAGGCCUCUUUCCUAGACCGCAACGCCCCAUUGCAUCUGGGUUUUCUGUUGCCUGGAACGCCUUUGUAGGGGAAGAGGGUGGUUGUGAAUUGAGCCUCUGGAGCACGUUUUCAAUAUUGCAGAGUGAGGCAGAUGAUGCAGAACCUUGGACGGUAACCACCUUGAAAUUUUGUGCUUAUUUCCACUCACAUUGUGGAGCAGUGAAGGGUUUUGCAUAGCUCCUACCCAAGUGCUCGUCGUAAGAACAGCAGGCGGUGGCGUGCAGCCUGGAUGGAGGAGGUAAAUGAUCUCCCUGACGCAUGCCAGUGAUGCUGAAAGUGUGGCUGCUAAUAGAGGAAAAAGAGGCUCUGAGUAUGUGAAGCUGCCGAGAGGGCAGAGACCACAGGUCUGGAGAAGGCGCAGAGGUUUAAAGCCGACCUGCCUGCAGGGAGGAGAGAGUGGCCCUGAGAGAGCAGAGGUGCCGGGAACGUGGGCUCCUCGGACGUGUUUGAGGAGCAGAGUUGCUUCCAGGGUCCCAGAAUGUGCUUCUAGGGAAGCAGGGAAGGGUCGGGGGCACUGGUUCCCUCAGGCAGGGGCGGGGGUAGGAGAAUGGAGGACUGUCACUUAAAAGGAACUUUGUGGAGCUCCUGUCCUGCCUCAUGGUUAACGAACCCAACUAGCAUCCAUGAGGGUGCAGGUUCGAUCCCUGGCCUCGCUCCGUGGGUUAAGGAUCUGUGUUGCCGUGAGCUGUGGUGUAGGUCACAGAUGCAGCUCGGAUCUGGCGUGGCUGUGGCUGUGGCGCAGGCCGGUGGCUACAGCUCUGAUUCGACCCCUAGCCCGGGAACCUCCAUAUGCCGCGAGUGCGGCCCUAAGAGACAAAAAUAAAUAAAUAAACAAACAAAUAAAUAAAAGGAACUUUGUGAACCUUUGUGGCCUUCCACGAGACCGAGUGCCCUCAUGAAGGGCCGGGAAGAAAGCCAGCGGGCCGUGUCGGGCGAUCCGGGAGAAACAGAGACACAGUUAAACAGCCGGCAGGCAGGGAGUCGGGGUGGGAACGGGUGCCCUGUCCCUGGGAACAGGCGGUCGCAUUCGCCCGUUACCAGGUCCCUGACCCCUCACCUGUAGGAAGGAAGGUUCUGCAGGGUGACGUGGUGUCACGGCAGGGUCCGUAUUUCCGCUGAACUUGUGCCGGGGCGACACGGGAGGCUCUGUACUCGGAGAAGACGUCCUGGCCUGCAGCUUCAGCACGCAGUUUGCUGCGAGUGUCUUGCCUCCGGGAGCACUGUGGUCCCUGCUGUGGCUUCCUUCAGAGCCUCCGUGGGGGGCUGACUGUCUCUGUCCCCCGCGGGACGGUGCUUUGUCUGCACGGAGAGUCUUCUUCCCACCUCACUCCUCCCAGCCUCGUUCUCGGCACUAGGGGCGCGGGCACGGCCUUUGCGGAGCCGGGUUCUGGUCGGCUCCCUCAUGACCUCAUCUGUUUUCUCGUCCUUGUUGGUUCCAACGGCUGAGCCCUGACCUGGAGCCCAGCGUGUGCGUGCAUUGCUGCACUUCGGGAAAAAAAAGCCAGUGUGGACCCUCGAUCCUCGAUCGGGUGAUUCUUUGUUCAGUUAGGUCUGAAGUUGAGGGGCGUGCAGUUCCGCUGGCAGAGGCCCUUUGUGCUGGCCGUCCCCUUUUUCACAGUUUAGUCGCUGCCGAGCAAAAUCGUCGAACUCUCUGGGGAAUCCUGAUGAGCGUUUGAAGUGCAUGGUUAAACUGGUUAGCUCAUGUAACUAGAAUAGAUUCAAACUAAAUGGUGUUUGGCUCUCCUCGGAGCAGGUUUGAACCAACUGAUACAAACUUGCACUGGAUUCCCAUUGACGAUUGCCAGUGGUGUGAACUUCAUCAUUUGAAACUUGAAACAUACGUGUUUCUAGACGUGUCGAUUUGUAAAUGGCUGUAAGGAGGGCUCACAAGGCUGUAAUUCACUCCUGUAGUGAACAUUUCUCGAGCAUCGCUGUGACUGUGGUGCUGCGGCAUGUGUUGGAUCACAACCAUGAAGCGAAGAGGCGGGGAGCUUGUGUUGUGGUUGAGGUUACAGAUGAGUGAAAAGG